GACGAACCGUGCGAACGUUGUUCGGAAUCACUGGGCUUAAAGGGCGCGUAGGCGGGCUGCCAAGUCCGUAGGUGAAAUCCCCCGGCUCAACCGGGGAACGGCCUCGGAUACUGGCGGCCUGGAGGGGGGUAGGGGCGUGCGGAACUGUGGGUGGAGCGGUGAAAUGCGUUGAGAUCCACAGGAGCUCCGGUGGCGAAGGCGGCACGCUGGACCCUUUCUGACGCUGAGGCGCGAAAGCCAGGGGAGCGAACGGG
rnacentral:rRNA from 1 species